rnacentral:rRNA from 1 species
CUGACGAGAGUCGCAGAUACCAGGUGGCUGCAACUGUUUAUUAAAAACACAGCACUGUGCAAAAUCGUAAGAUGACGUAUACGGUGUGACGCCUGCCCGGUGCCGGAAGGUUAAUUGAUGGGGUUAGACUUCGGUCGAAGCUCUUGAUCGAAGCCCCGGUAAACGGCGGCCGUAACUAUAACGGUCCUAAGGUAGCGAAAUUCCUUGUCGGGUAAGUUCCGACCUGCACGAAUGGCGUAAUGAUGGCCACGCUGUCUCCACCCGAGACUCAGUGAAAUUGAAAUCGCUGUGAAGAUGCAGUGUACCCGCGGCUAGACGGAAAGACCCCGUGAACCUUUACUACAGCUUGGCACUGAACAUUGACCCUACAUGUGUAGGAUAGGUGGGAGGCUUUGAAGCACGUACGCCAGUAUGUGUGGAGCCGUCCUUGAAAUACCACCCUUGUAGUGUUGAUGUUCUAACGUCGACCCCUAAUCGGGGUUGCGGACAGUGCCUGGUGGGUAGUUUGACUGGGGCGGUCUCCUCCCAAAGAGUAACGGAGGAGCACGAAGGUGGGCUAAUCACGGUUGGACAUCGUGAGGUUAGUGCAAUGGCAUAAGCCCGCUUGACUGCGAGAAUGACAAUUCGAGCAGGUGCGAAAGCAGGUCAUAGUGAUCCGGUGGUUCUGAAUGGAAGGGCCAUCGCUCAACGGAUAAAAGGUACUCCGGGGAUAACAGGCUGAUACCGCCCAAGAGUUCAUAUCGACGGCGGUGUUUGGCACCUCGAUGUCGGCUCAUCACAUCCUGGGGCUGAAGUCGGUCCCAAGGGUAUGGCUGUUCGCCAUUUAAAGUGGUACGCGAGCUGGGUUUAGAACGUCGUGAGACAGUUCGGUCCCUAUCUGCCGUGGGCGUUGGAAGAUUGAAGGGGGCUGCUCCUAGUACGAGAGGACCGGAGUGGACGAACCUCUGGUGUUCGGGUUGUGUCGCCAGACGCAUUGCCCGGUAGCUAAGUUCGGAAUCGAUAACCGCUGAAAGCAUCUAAGCGGGAAGCGAGCCCUGAGAUGAGUCUUCCCUGAUACUUUAAGUAUCCUAAAGGGUUGUCGGAGACUACGACGUUGAUAGGUCAGGUGUGUAAGUGCUGUGAGGCAUUGAGCUAACUGAUACUAAUUGCCCGUGAGGCUUAACCAU